GGGCAUGUAGCGCAGUUGGUAGCGCGCUCGCUUAGCAGCUAGCCAGCAUAUGGCUUGACGGCCUGCGAGAGGUCCUCGAUUCGAAUUCGGGCUUGUCCA